rnacentral:rRNA from 1 species
UACGUAGGCAGCAAGCGUUGUUCGGAGUUACUGGGCGUAAAGAGUGCGUAGGUGGUGCCCUAAGUCUGUUGUGAAAUCUCCCGGCUUAACUGGGAGGGUGCGGUGGAAACUGGGGUUCUUGAGUGUGGGAGAGGUAAGCGGAAUUCCUGGUGUAGCGGUGAAAUGCGUAGAUAUCAGGAGGAACACCGGUGGUGUAGACGGCUUACUGGACCACGACUGACACUGAGGCACGAAAGCGUGGGUAGCAAACAGG